ensembl:lncRNA
GUGACCUUGGCAUCCUGCUUUGCAGUUGGAACAAAAUGUACAUAAAGGUAAGAAUAUAGGUUCCAUAUGCAUGGUUUUGUUUUUUUUCAAAUUCCAUUCAAAAACAAUCGUUCUUUUAUACUUACUACCUUGUUUUAGCUCCUACUCUAAGGUUUCUUUGCUUAACAUGAGGAAAUGUAUGCAUGACCUUAUCAAAGUGUUAUUCACAGCAAUUCAGAAUAUGCAGUUAGCGCUAACUGUUGGCGUUGGUACACUGAGUGUCUACUUCUCAAUGCACAGAUAGAUAGAAUGCCUUUAAACAACAGCUUAUUUUUCAGUUCCUUGCUAAUUGCUAAAUUCUGUUUUCAGUGCGUGAGCUGCAACACAGCUCUCAAGCAAGUACUGCUAUAUAUAUUAUCCUAGAAAUAUUUCUUACACAUGCAGGAGUUACAAAAUGAAUUGUGCGUCCCUUGAAGGCAUAUCCUACAGAAAUGCCAGUGUUUGUUUCUUUUAUCUCAGAACCGUAUCCAGGGAACAUUGUUGUAUUUACCAUUCCAAAUCACUACAGUGAUGGCUUAACUGAAGAUACAUGAGCCACUCUCCUCCUCCCAGUGAAAUGACUCUCUCCUGACAUAUUGGGUUCAGUCUCAUUCUUGAACUCAAGCUGGGAAAGCCACCUUGCUCAGUGCCUUCAGCUAGUCCUUGGCCAGCAGUUGGUGUCUGUGCCACGCGCAGUGUGGGGGCAGAGGAAGGGAGGAAGCCUUGAUGUCCCCAGGCACAGGUGGAAGGAAGGACACCUAUCCACUCCUUGUCUGGGUGCUGUAGAGCUAAACUACUCCCUACUGGCCCCAGCACAUGAGCUCUUUGCUCUUUACUUCCAAUUUUUCACGUACUGUAAUACCAUUCCCUGCACCUCCACUGGGCUCCUGAAUGAAAAUCCCACAUGUGGCUGCAGAGAGGACACUCAGCAACACUGGGGGUUGGAUAUGGCUGCUGCCUGGUUGGUCCAUGCAGCUAUGGAGCAGCUGUCCUCAACCCAGGCAGUGGCUCAUUGAAAAAGGCAGGGCAUUUGUUCCUGCUCUGUUUGCUGGUAUAAACCUGAAUCUGCUGAACCAGCAGAGUCAUUCCUGGAAAUCCUGGGAAAUGCCUUACCAGAGCUGGUGCAGCUUACAGAUGGCUGAAGAAGAGUAUCUACAAAACGGAGACAACUACUUGCCUGCGCAAGAAGUAGAAGCCAGGGAACUACAGGCUGAUCAGCUUCACCUUCCUACCUACCUGGGAAGGUAUGGAGCCGCUAAUCCUGGAAGCCAUCUCUUGUCUAACUAUCAGUUUGCCCAAACUCAAAGGAUGGGAGAGAGGUUAAGUGUUAGGAGGAUAUUUUUAAAAAUGCCCUUAUUGUGGACAUGGGAAAUAGUGGAAGGGAAACUUCACUAGGACAGAUCACAGGUAAAGAUUUGAUAUCAGAAGGUUUUCUGCUCCACGUACUGUCACAAAUCUGACCAGAGGAUGCCCAUAUGUUAUGUCAACAUCAUUUUAAGGAAUCAGCUUCCAGCACUGGGACACCUCUGAUCUUGUUCAGACCAGAUCAUAACAAAGCUG